UACGUAGGGUGCGAGCGUUGUCCGGAUUUAUUGGGCGUAAAGAGCGUGUAGGCGGCCAGGUAGGUCUGCUGUGAAAACUCGAGGCUCAACCUCGAGACGUCGGCGGAAACCAUCUGGCUAGAGUCCGGAAGAGGAGAGUGGAAUUCCUGGUGUAGCGGUGAAAUGCGCAGAUAUCGGGAAGAACACCCGUGGCGAAGGCGGCUCUCUGGGACGGUACUGACGCUGAGACGCGAAAGCGUGGGGAGCGAACAGG
rnacentral:rRNA from 1 species